CAGUUCCGGCCUGUCAUGGCGGCGGAGCAGGGCGGGGCAGGUGGCGGGAGCCCCCCCGGGCUGGACCCGCUGCGCGGCGCGGGCGGCGAGGAGGAGCGGGAGGCCGACGGGCGCGGAGCGGCCCGGCCCAGGCCCCGGCCCCCGAGCCCGGGGCCGCUGCGCGAGGCCGAGGUCACCGUGGAGAUCGGGGAGACCUACCUGUGCCGGCGGGCGGACGGGACCUGGCACUCGGCCGAGGUCAUCCAGUCCCGACUCAACGAGCAGGAGGCUCGGGAGGAAUACUACGUGCACUAUGUCGGAUUCAACCGGCGUCUGGAUGAGUGGGUAGAUAAGAACCGGCUGGCCCUCACCAAGACAGUCAAAGAUGCAGUGCAGAAAAACACAGACCAGUACAUGAACGAGCUGUCGGAGCAACCCGAGCGUAAGAUCACCCGCAACCAGAAGCGCAAACAUGACGAGAUCAACCAUGUUCAGAAGACAUACGCAGAGAUGGAUCCUACCACAGCUGCCCUGGAGAAGGAGCAUGAGGCGAUCACCAAGGUGAAAUACGUAGAUAAGAUCCACAUUGGCCACUAUGAGAUCGACGCCUGGUAUUUCUCACCCUUCCCGGAGGAUUAUGGGAAGCAGCCCAAACUGUGGAUCUGCGAGUACUGCCUGAAAUACAUGAAGUUCGAGAAGAGCUACAGGUACCACCUAGGCCAGUGCCAGUGGAGACAGCCCCCGGGGAAGGAGAUCUACAGGAAGAACAACAUCUCUGUCUAUGAAGUGGAUGGCAAAGAUCACAAGAUUUACUGCCAGAACCUGUGUCUCCUGGCCAAGCUCUUCCUAGACCACAAGACCCUCUACUUUGAUGUUGAGCCCUUUGUCUUCUACAUCCUCACCGAGGUCGACAGGCAGGGCGCCCACAUCGUCGGCUAUUUCUCCAAGGAGAAGGAGUCUCCAGACGGGAACAACGUGGCCUGUAUCCUCACCCUGCCCCCCUACCAAAGACGGGGCUAUGGCAAGUUUCUCAUCGCUUUCAGCUACGAGCUGUCUAAGCUGGAAAGCACGGUGGGCUCCCCAGAGAAGCCCCUCUCGGACCUGGGCAAGCUGAGCUACCGGAGCUACUGGUCCUGGGUGCUGCUGGAGAUCCUGAGGGACUUCCGAGGGACCCUGUCCAUCAAAGACCUCAGCCAGAUGACCAGCAUCACUCAGAACGACAUCAUCAGCACGCUUCAGUCCCUCAACAUGGUGAAGUAUUGGAAGGGGCAACACGUCAUCUGCGUCACGCCCAAGCUGGUGGAGGAGCAUCUGAAGAGUGCCCAGUACAAGAAGCCUCCCAUCACAGGGAAAGCUCCAAGCUCUUCGCCGGCUGCAAAUGCAGGGAUCGCACACCCUUCACUGAAAUGCGACCACUCUGGGGUGGGACUUGCUGGCUAACAGCAAUGCUGCACAGCUCACCCAGCUACCUCUGGGCUUGAAAUGACAAAGUGGGAUUGAAGGAGGAAGAAGAGGAUGAAUUUUGCUUGGAAACUGGACAAGAGACACUGAUUAUCCUGGAAUCCUCUAAUGCCAUUGAAGAGUUGUGGAGCGGCUGUUAAACAGCUGGCACACCAGAGAUGGCUGCAUUUCAGUGCCGGGUGAAGCAUGCCCCUGCAGUGUUGCUGUUACCCAGCUGCCUCACCCCAGAGCUCAGAUCUGGGUGCGUGCUUCCACUGUGUUCCAACACCGACUGCUUUCCCAUGGGUGCAGUUUGCUUCCCUGCGGUAACUGGCUGAGGUGGAUUCCAUCUGUCUCAAGUGGGCACCCCCCAAACACAAGCAGGCCAAGAUCUCCAAGAAGUGAAGGAAUGGUGGGACACAGGAGUCCAAAUGACCCCUCAGUCACAUGAGGAUCUGGUCUGCACCCCGCCUGACCACAGAGCACCGGAGCAAACAACCAGCUGGAAGGGCUGGACGUCGUUCAUUAGGCCAGCGGCGAUUGAGCAGGGCUGGUGUCCUGUCCUGUCGCAUCUCAUUCCCCUUGAGCGUUGCAUGGCAGAAUAGGCCCACGGCUGAGCUUUGCUCUCCCGAACAGCUCUAGUAAAGGGGGUUCCCUGCACCACUGCCAGUGUCUGCUGCCCGGCUAGUCAGUUGCGUGCUGCACCCUGGUCAAUAUCACCUUGGUGGACUGGCUAAUUUGUCGGGGGGUGCGGUCUGCUGGGCAGCCAGCAGUUGAAUCUGGGGCAGGAGGAGGUACUCAGCUGGCAGGGGAGGGGGGAGAGAUGCCCAGGGUUGCUAAUGGCAGGAUGGCACUGGGUGUUCUCUGCUGGGCAAACACUCCCUGUCCAGUUGAUCCCCUGGGCUUGCAAGAUAGGGAAGCGGCACUGGGGGAAGGUACUGGGACAGCUGCACCAGGAGGCUGGAACAGGGCAGGGGCAGUGUGAGAGUCCCUUCUAACGUACAUUUGGCUCUGCCACCGUGCACCUCCUGCCCUGAGCCGGGGUCUCGAGGAGGGGGGAGCAGAAUGCCAGAGCCCUGACUUACCACCCCACACACACAUGCCACCGAUGUGCCCCAGCUGCUGCAGGCAGAGCCCACUCUGGCCAUGACGAUGCCCCUUCUGCUAGGCCUCCUUGAUGUGGGCAUCUCCCCACUAGGAUCUCAGCUGGGUCCCUUCCGGAACCUUUCACGCCCCAGCUGCCAGCCUGCUGCUGGGGUUCUUCCCCCCGACCUGCCCCUUUGGCUUGCACUCCUUAGGCCAGGAUUCCCUUCACCAUCCAGUGCUCCCCCUGCCACCUGCCCCUCCUGCUCCUGGCAUCUCUGUCCCAGUUCUCUUGUCCCACCUCCUCCACGGCUGGGAUCCCUCCCUGAUCUCCCAUUCCAGAGAUCCUGGGAUCCCCACAAGGGACUGGAGGAAAAGCAGGGCUGUGGGAAUGUCUGCUGAGUUUGGCUGGUCUCAAGUCAGUUCUUGAACCGCACCCCCACAAAGCCAAGCUCUGCAUGGGGCAGAUGUGUAUGGGAUUCUCCCAGGGCUGGGACACCCCAGUCUAGAGAUACACAGAGGAUACUGUCUCAGGCCUCUUCCCUCAGCACCAAUCUCACACUCCUCCAAUCCCGAGGCUGGUGCCACCAGCUGGAGGUGCAAGUAAGCGUUGCUGCCGGGGGGCUGGAGCGUGGGGGAACGGUUGGCGCCAACAGCCCCCAAGCCAGUCCCCACAGCUUCUCUGUACUCCUACUCGCUGCCUACAGGUGUAUUUUUUUCUGUUUUAAGAAGUGUAUUUUUCAUAAAUAAAAAGGAAAAGUGUGAACAGCC